rnacentral:rRNA from 1 species
GGUUUGGCACCUCGAUGUCGGCUCAUCGCAUCCUGGAGCUGAAGUAGGUUCCAAGGGUUGGGCUGUUCGCCCAUUAAAGCGGUACGCGAGCUGGGUUCAGAACGUCGUGAGACAGUUCGGUCCCUAUCUGUCGCGGGCGCAGGAAAUUUGAAGGGAGCUGUCCUUAGUACGAGAGGACCGGGAUGGACGCACCACUGGUGCACCAGUUGUACUGCCAAGUGCACAGCUGGGUAGCUAAGUGCGGCAGGGAUAAACGCUGAAGGCAUCUAAGCGUGAAGACCCCCCUAAGAUAAGAUUUCCCAUAGCAAAAGCUAGUAAGGUCCCAUGAAGACUACAUGGUAGAUAGGUCAAAGGUGUAAGUGCAGUAAUGCACUCAGCUGAUUGAUACUAAUAGACCGAGGGCUUGACCAA